rnacentral:rRNA from 1 species
UACGGGGGGAGCAAGCGUUGUUCGGAUUUACUGGGCGUAAAGGGCGCGUAGGCGGCCACCGCAAGUCGACUGUGAAAUCUCCGGGCUUAACCCGGAAAGGUCAGCCGAUACUGCGGGCUAGAGUGCAGAAGGGGCAACUGGAAUUCUCGGUGUAGCGGUGAAAUGCGUAGAUAUGCGGAGGAACACCGAUGGCGAAGGCAAUCCCCUGGGCCUGCACUGACGCUCAUGCACGAAAGCGUGGGGAUCAAACAG